rnacentral:rRNA from 1 species
UACGUAGGUGGCGAGCGUUGUCCGGAUUUACUGGGCGUAAAGAGCGCGCAGGCGGUCAGAUAAGUCGAAUGUGAAAGCCCCCGGCUCAACUGGGGAGGGUCAUUCGAUACUGUUCGACUCGAAGGCAGGAGAGGGAAGUGGAAUUCCCGGUGUAGUGGCGAAAUGCGUAGAUAUCGGGAGGAACACCAGUGGCGAAGGCGACUUCCUGGCCUGUUCUUGACGCUGAGGCGCGAAAGCUAGGGGAGCAAACGGG